rnacentral:misc_RNA from 1 species
AUUUUUUUGGUCAAUGAUCAGAACAAUCUGAUAUUUGUACGAGUUUCAAUUUUAUCCUACAGUUACUGAUUGUGUUUUUCAGUUGUAUCUAGAACUGGUUGAUUUAGAAGAAAUAGGUCUCUUCAUAGCAGUAAGAGCUGCUAAAUGAUAGCUUUCUGUAAAUUUGUCCCUCCUCAGCCCUCAUGAAGCUGUUAACUUCAAAAUACUUUUAGGUAUCCAUAUUUUGCAAAAAGCCACCAUUUAGUGACCUUUAAGAUUUCGGACAGCCCCAUUUCACCUGACUUAGCAAUUUUUUUCAGUUUUGGAAUCCCAUCUUAGUGCCACAUUAGCAGCACAUAUUUUCUAUACCAGUUGGAUACAAUUGAAACAAAAUCAAUAACUUAUGAAUAAAUUUAUGAAGGCAUAUCAUACAAUUGGAAAAACACAUUAAGUUCAGCAUUUUAAGACUCAUUAGACAUUUUUUUUUAAAAAAUUUUUGGUUUGGAAAUUAUAAUUCUUGCCUGCAGUCUGGCUUUGAAUUUUAGGUGUAAUCUCU